rfam:Triticum aestivum genome assembly, contig: Triticum_aestivum_CS42_TGACv1_scaffold_621820_7DS
CAUAUACUCCCUCCGUCCGAAAAAGCUUGUCCCUCAAAUGCAUGUAUCGAGCACCAAGUUAGUGGUAGAUACAUCCAUUUGAGGGACAAGCUUUUUCGGACGGAGGGAGUAUUGC